UCAAUGACUUGUCCAUUAGAUAAGGGAUCAUAUAUUCCUCCAUUCUAGAUAUCAUAUGGACUGAGACAUGGAUUAUAAUCAUUCUCUCUGUCCAUUUGUUGUUUCCCGAUUUCCGAUUUAUGACGACUGACUAAUUAAACAAAUCAAAUCAUGUAACAACCCGAAAUUUCCCAUCGCUGAAAACUUGUUCUACCCGUUAAACUCACCAUAUAUCAAUUCGUUCCGAUGUCGUUUUUGGGUUGAAUUAAUUAAACUUAUGUGUCUAUUUGAUAAUUAUGAGUGUCCAAACCUAUUAGGAACUCACGAAAUUAGCCCAAAAUACUUAUUCCAAAAAUUUUAGAAACAUUCCCGCCGAGUCACAAAAACUUAAUCAGGUGCGACCAAAAGCCCCGUUUAGUGCCGGUAUCGGGUAGAAUUCCAUUGUGUCCAAGUUUGGGACCUAUUUAAACGUGUUCAAGCUUUCAUUUGAAGCUUUUUCUUCAUUUCACAACCAUCUCUCUCUAACCUCUCUCUUAAAUCCAAGUUUAAGGGUCCAAAUCAUCAAUUUAAGGCUUCAAAUCUUUGAGGUAACUUCCCUAACUAGCUAUACAACCCCUCUAGCCUUCAAAUUCGAGUUUAAACCAUGGAUUAGGACCAUUAUCAUGGGUUUACGGACGUAGAACUAUCCUAUGCCGUAAACUCAUUUAAAGGGGGUUUUUGAGCAACAAAACCCUUCCAAACCACAACUAGAUUUUAGAUAUGGCUAAAUGACUUCAUGGAUUGGACUUAGAGCACUUUAGACAUGGAUUUUGAGAGAUUAUAAUGAGUUCACGGCCCAGGAAGGUGCCUAGUCCAUAAACACUAAACUAAAAGGGUUUUGAGCCCUUAAACCCUUCCUAAACUCAAACAAGGCUUAGAUAUGACAUUUAGAAUAUUGGUAAUGGCCUUAGAACAUCAUAAACUUAAUUUUUGAGGAGUAAAUGGGAGUUUACGGCUAAGGUUCAUGCUUGGGCCGUAAACCCCUCAAAAAUGGAGAGUAAACUCAUUUUAACAUGUCCAAAUGCCUUCAAACUUAACCAAUAGCCUUGUGGUAAAUCCUAGGACCAUCUAAAAAUAGUUUGGGGGUCUUAAACAUAUCAAAAUGCAACAUAUAAGAGUUUACGGCCAUAAAUCAUGCCCUUAGGCCAUAAACUCCCAAUUAUGUGUUAAAUGAUGCCCUAAAAUCACCCCAAGGCUUGGAAAUAUUACUAGAAUCACAUGUGAUUGUUCCUUGUGCCUCAAAAUAAUUAUUCAUGACCCUAGGAGAGUUUACGGCUGUAAACUCCAAGUUUACAGCCGUGAACUCCCUUAAACAAUAUAUAAGUCCCAUAAAUUUAUUCCAAGGCAUUUUAGAAGUCCAUUCCAACAUUUCCCAAGUCCAAACAAGCCAUUAAGCACUCAAAAUCACACCAACAUGAGUUCACAGCCGUGAACUCAUGUAUGUAUGUGUUUCAUGGUUGUAAACUCCCUAAAAUGUUUACUCUUGGGGGGUAAACUCAAAUCCCAAGUCCCUAGUACCAUUUCACGUCCGUAGAUGUCACCGGGUCACUCCAAACACUCGUUUUGAAGUGUUUAAUCUCAUUGGAGUAUAAUGUUCCAUAUAAUUAGUGAUUGUAAAUCUAAUUAGAUAUAUAUGGACAUUAUUUCAUUCUACAUAGGGACAUCGCGAGUAAUCAGGCCCCGAACCGACGUUUAGUGUCCGAAAUCGUCGCAUUUCCGAGUCCGGUGAGUUCAUACCCCUACCCUUUUUUUGUAGUUUUCAGGGGGGAAAUACAAGCAAAAAGUACAAGUGUAUUUUGUACAUAAACUGAUUUUCAACUCAAUGGUUUUACUUACUAAAUGUCUUGAUUUCCAAAGAUUUGUGAUAACUGACGUUUCGAAUUCCAGGUUAAAUAUAGAUUUCUUUUAAAAAGUGUUACAACUAUAUUCUCUUUGAAUAAGAAAUCAUACUAAUAAUAUUUAAGAUCUAUACGAAUUUAACCUAGUACGAAUACGAAUACGAAUGUAACCUAGUACGAAUACGAAUACGAAUGUAACCUAGUACGAAUACGAAUACGAAUGUAACCUACUACGAAUACGAAUACGAAUGUAACCUACUACGAAUACGAAUACGAAUGUAACUUAGUAUGAAUACGAAUACGAAUAUGAAUACGAAUACGAAUACGAAUACGAAUACGAAUACGAAUACGAAUACGAAUACGAAUACGAAUACGAAUACGAAUACGAAUACGAAUACGACUACGAAUGCGAAUACGACUACGAAUGCGAAAUGACGCCUUUGGUUGACACUAAGACUUCGAAUAUACAGUUAGUGUACCCCUUGAGUGUCACCAGAGUUUCGAAUUUAAUACGAAAAUACGCCUCUGGACCUCUACUGAGUUUCAAAUAUAUCCGCCUCAGAAUGUCGACAGAGCUUCGAAUACACAACUAAUAUACUCUUUUGGAACUCAACAGAACUUCGAAAAUACUGUAAUGUACGCUUCUGUGUGAUUCCAAAUAUUCGAAAAUACAACUAAAUUAGUAAAUAAUAGCCAUUCUAAAGUAUAAUAACUAAGGGUUUAGAAUACUUAACCAAUACUACACAUAUGGGAAUUACUAUUACAUCGAAAUCAAACCUAAGAAAUCAACCACCACACAUAGGAAAAUAUGGGAUUUUCCUGGGAUAACAUAACAACCGGUAACGAACCUAGAUACAAAUAGACAACUCAACACAUAGGAAAAUAUGGGAUUUUCCUGGAUAGUACAACAACACAUAAACGGAAAAAGUAACAAACGAAUAACUAAAACUAUAAGGAAAAUAUGGGAUUUUCCUGGAAUGACGUAACCAACCAUUUUCGAAAUUUUAACAAAGGAUAACCAAACCGUUUUCAUAAGAAAAUAUGGGAUGUUCUUGAUCAACAACUUUUCCAGAAAGUAAAGGAACUCAUUCUUUUCAAAACUAAACCGCUUAUGAACUCACCAGCUUUAUGCUAAUUUUCAAACUGCUUGUAUUCUCAGGUCAGCGAUAGACAAGUACACCGCAACUAUUUGGAGAAGACGGAGCGUCCCGAAGACUCGUCUUUACUUUUGUUUAUAUUACAUAUGUAAAUCACUUGUAUAACUUUUCUUUCAAACAGAUGUAAACAAUAUUACGUAAUGUAAUGUUUUGUGUUUAUUGUUUUACUAUGUGCAUUGGAUUUGAUACUCAACAUGGAGUCAACCCCGGAAAUGUUUCCGCCUUCGGUUUUUGGGGUGUGACAAAUCAGUCCUGGCCCGGCCGAGCACUUCCAUUUGUCAUCAUCAAAUCAUCGAGGGGCCCACAGAUAUCGCUUUUAUCCCGAAG
rnacentral:lncRNA from 1 species